AUUGAACGCUGGCGGCAUGCUUUACACAUGCAAGUCGAACGGUAACAGGCCUUCGGGUGCUGACGAGUGGCGCACGGGUGAGUAAUGCAUCGGAACGUGCCCAGAGGUGGGGGAUAACGCAGCGAAAGCUGUGCUAAUACCGCAUGUGAUCUGAGGAUGAAAGCGGGGGACCAAGCAGCAAUGUUUGGCCUCGCGCCUCUGGAGCGGCCGAUGUCAGAUUAGGUAGUUGGUGGGGUAAAGGCCUACCAAGCCGACGAUCUGUAGCUGGUCUGAGAGGACGACCAGCCACACUGGGACUGAGACACGGCCCAGACUCCUACGGGAGGCAGCAGUGGGGAAUUUUGGACAAUGGGCGCAAGCCUGAUCCAGCAAUGCCGCGUGCGGGAAGAAGGCCUUCGGGUUGUAAACCGCUUUUGUACGGAACGAAAAGGCUCUGGCUAAUACCUGGGGCUGAUGACGGUACCGCAAGAAUAAGCACCGGCUAACUACGUG
rnacentral:rRNA from 1 species